rnacentral:rRNA from 1 species
GUAUCCAAGGAGGAAACCCCGGCUAACUACGUGCCAGCAGCCGCGGUAAUACGUAGGGGGCAAGCGUUGUCCGGAAUAAUUGGGCGUAAAGGGCGCGUAGGCGGCUCGGUAAGUCUGGAGUGAAAGUCCUGCUUUUAAGGUGGGAAUUGCUUUGGAUACUGUCGGGCUUGAGUGCAGGAGAGGUUAGUGGAAUUCCCAGUGUAGCGGUGAAAUGCGUAGAGAUUGGGAGGAACACCAGUGGCGAAGGCGACUAACUGGACUGUAACUGACGCUGAGGCGCGAAAGUGUGGGGAGCAAACAGGAUUAGAUACCCUGGUAGUCCACACUGUAAACGAUGAAUGCUAGGUGUAGGGGGUAUCGACCCCUUCUGUGCCGCAGUCAACACAAUAAGCAUUCCGCCUGGGGA